AACCUCUCAUCUCUCAAAAUUCUCUCAAAAUUAUCUCAAACGAACCCUCGCCUAUCUCAUUGUUGCCUACCUCGGAUCACCGGAAAUCAUGGCAUUCCAGUCAUGAUCCCCUCAUACUCACCCUCUAUUACCCAUGUGUGCUCAAUAUUCGAAGAACCAAGGCCUUGACCUUGAUGGUUCCCUUUCAGAUCUUCUCAGAUUUGUGGAUCUACGGCUUUUUCGGCCACUAUUCUGGCAUAUUCAAGCAAUAUGACCCCUUUCAACUCAGUAUCGG
rnacentral:lncRNA from 1 species